GGCCUUAGCUAUUAGUGUGUUCCUUAUCUCUUGCCAAAGGAAAAAGUAGGAAACCUUAUGCUGGGCUCAUUUUUACAGUUUUCAUCACCAGCAUAAUGGGCGAGGUAAGAAGAGAUAAGAGGCAUUUGCUUUGUUCUCAGCUACCUGCGUGAUUUUCGUUGCCAGUGUUGUCCAAAGAUUGGUCUGACCUUCUGCUUAACAUCUGCCAUCCCCCAGCUCUCAGGCCUACGUUUGGAAUGCACAUUGAAGUUGAAAUUGAAGCUCAAAUCUUUCCUUUCCAGAGGAGAUUUCACAGAAUGGCUCUAAAGCCCAGUAUUGAAGUGUGGAGGUUGGUGUUCCACUAGUGGUCCAAGCAGCUCCAUGUCCUAGUCAAGGUGCUAGGUCAGAGUCUCUGGGACUCAGGGCCACCAGGUGGCUACCACGUGAAAGACAUUAUAUAGUUUGUGAACUUCCUAGACGACAGGAUGCAGUAGCAGUACCCACAGGAUUGAGCGCAGCUGCUGUGAAGCCAUUCCAUUAAGCGUGCUUGGAGGCAGGAUAGCUUUGCAUUCAAUUCUGUCCUCCUAUCUUUGCUACUUUCCUCAGCAGUCUCAACCACACAGCCAUACCCUUCUGGAGACUGGAAAGAUUGCCCCAGCAGGAGUGCCCCUGGGAAAGUCCUAAAUCAAGCACCCAGAAAUACUCAGGCAAGUACACUUAAUGAUGUUGAUGGAAAUAGGGUAGUGAUGAUUAACAGAAGCAAAAGAGAGAUAGGAGAAAGAAAAUAUGAAGAAUCAAGGAAGGAGAAAUCAAAGAACUAUAGAGAGCUGAAAAGGUGGCUUGGUAAUUUAUUUUUCAGUAUGGGUCAGUGUGCCUGAUAAACUCAAGAGAUUCUCCCCAAGCUCAGAGGAAAAGGGAAAAUAAAUUGAGAGAGCUAAGGUAUGAGACAAAGCCAAAGCCAGAAUAUCCAAAAUACUGAUGGAGUGCUCAGAAAGAAAGCAGAGAGCUGAUAGAAGAGAAACUUCUUAUAUCCCCCAACAGGAGGAACUAGUGAUGGGAAGAGGGUGUUAUGCCUCCCACAAGUCUAUAAGGUGGAGAGGAUCUUGUUUAAAGAGACUAUGAAAGGUGCAAGGAUAAACUUGCAUUCUGUGACAGACAUCCAAACCCUCACCUUGAACUUCUCAUACCACCCCCACCCCCUGCUUCCAAACUCCAUUGAAGAACCAAAGGAAAAUAAUGGUAGGGGAAACUCUAUGUCAUUGUUCAAAACUGAAAGAAGGAUUCCACCCACAUGCCAGACGUUUUAAGGAAUUUCUGUAAGACUUAAUGCAGAUGAGACCAGUUUGACAGAAGGAUUUGACAACCUUCAAUUCACCUCAGAGAAAAGCCUCUCCAGGGAAGGACCCCCGCCCCCAACCCCAGACUCAGUAAUGCUCCCAAAUUGGUCAUGACAAGAGCUGCAGGCAAAAAUAAACCACAGAGGCCGGGCAUGGUGACUUAUGCCUGUAAUCCCAGCACUUUGGGAGGCCAAGGUGGGUGGAUCACCUGAGGUCAGAGUUCGAGACCAGCCUGGUCAAC
rnacentral:lncRNA from 10 species